AUAGUACUGUGAAGGAAAGGUGAAAAGGACCCCGGGAGGGGAGUGAAAGAGAACCUGAAACCCUGUGUUUACAAGCUGUGGAAGUUCUUUAAAUGAACAACCGCGUACUUUUUGUAGAACGGUCCGGCGAGUUGCGGAUACUGGCAAGGUUAAGCACUUAAGGUGCGGAGCCGAAGGGAUACCAAGUCUUAACAGGGCGUUAAGUCAGUAUACGCAGACCCGAAACCGGGUGAUCUAUCCAUGUCCAGGUUGAAGUUGUCGUAAAAGACAAUGGAGGACCGAAGCCACAUCCGUUGAAAAGGGUGGGCAUGAGGUGUGGAUAGGGGAGAAAUUCCAAUCGAACCCGGAGAUAGCUGGUUCUCCUCGAAAUAGCUUUAGGGCUAGCCUCGAUUUAGUCUUAUGGAGGUAGAGCACUGAAUUUCCGCGGGGGCGUCAAAGCUUACCAAAGAAUAUCAAACUCCGAAUGCCAUGUAGAUGAUGAUCGGGAGUCAGACUGCACGAGAUAAGUUGGGCAGUCAAAAGGGAAAGAGCCCAGACCACCGGCUAAGGUCCCAAAGUGCGUGUUAAGUGGAAAAGGAUGUGGGAAUUCGAAGACAACUAGGAUGUUGGCUCAGAAGCAGCCAUACAUUCAAAGAGUGCGUAACAGCUCACUAGUCGAGAGUUCCUGCGCCGAAAAUGUCCGGGGCUGAAACACGACACCGAAGCCGUGGACUCGCAAUGCGAGUGGUAGAGGAGCAUUCUUAAAACCGACGAAGCUGUACCGGAAGGAGCAGUGGAGGGAUAAGAAGAGAGAAUGCCGGAAUGAGUAGCGAGAGAAAGGUGGGAAUCCUUUCGGCCGAAUAUCUAAGGUUUCCAGAGUAAAGCUGAUCUGCUCUGGGUAAGUCGGGGCCUAAGCACAGGUCGCAAGACGUAAGCGAUGGAUAACAGGUUUAGAUUCCUGUACCACGCAUUAUCAGAACUGUAGGGACGCAUGUGGAAAGCACGGGCCGGGAAUGGAAAAACCGGUACAAGCGGGGUAGGUGUACAAUAGGCAAAUCCGUUGUAUAAUCCGAAGACGUGAUGUGGAGCGAAAUAAAGUAGUGAAGCGUGUGAGCCAUGUGCCGAGAAAAGCUGCUAUUGUGUAAUGCGUGCCCGUACCGUAAACCGACACAGGUGGAUGAGGAGAGAAUCCUAAGGCCGACGGAAGAAGCAUUGUUAAGGAAUUCGGCAAAAUGACCCCGUAACUUCGGGAGAAGGGGUGCCUGCGAGAGCAGGCCGCAGAGAAUAGGCUCAAGCAACUGUUUAGCAAAAACACAGGUCUAUGCGAAACCGAAAGGUGAAGUAUAUGGGCUGACGCCUGCCCGGUGCUGGAAGGUUAAGAGGAGAGGUUAGCGUAAGCGAAGCUUUGAAUUUAAGCCCCAGUAAACGGCGGCCGUAACUAUAACGGUCCUAAGGUAGCGAAAUUCCUUGUCGGGU
rnacentral:rRNA from 1 species